rnacentral:rRNA from 1 species
AUGAAGAACGUAGCGAAAUGCGAUACGUGGUGUGAAUUGCAGAAUCCCGUGAACCAUCGAGUCUUUGAACGCAAGUUGCGCCCGGAGCCGUGAGGCCGAGGGCGCGUC